GCUCGGGUGGCGGAAUGGUAUACGCGCAACACUUAAAAUGUUGUGAGGCUUGCCUCAUGUGGGUUCGACUCCCGCCCCGAGCA
rnacentral:tRNA from 1 species